CUUAAUCCCUUUCAUUAAUUAAAUCAAAGGGUAAUUUCAACCAUGGACAUUAUGACAAUUGAUAAUUACAGUUUCCUCCUGUCUGUUAGGGACGGGAGGGUUAGCGUCGAAAUUAUCAUACAUUUUACAUUCACUUUUAACCUAAACAGAAUUCUUGGAAGGCUUUGGAUUUCAUUUUAAGUCUAAUGUCAUAGUCAGUUUUAUACAUUAAUCUGUCUCAUAUAUUAAAUUAAUAUAUAUAUAUAUAUAUAUAUACCUACCAGGUAUAUAUAUAUAUAUAUACCUGGUUCAUAAAAGUUGCAGUUGUCAUAGAAAGUCCAUAGUUGUAAAAUUACCCACUGUUCAGCAGUGUCCCGAAGAGAGAUUUUGUCAAUCCAAAACAACACCUUGUGUUGUCUGGAGCAGAUAUCUAGGGGCAGGAGAGGUGCUGAAACCUUGGACAAAACAUCUACAUCAAGGACCUGCACCUCUCACGGCAUCUCUGCACCAUACUGGAAAACAUCUACAGCAAAUCUGCAACAUGUCUGCACACUCAAUGUGUGCCUGACUUGACAAUAUUCAAUCUCUCUUCGUGGGGAGUCGUGGCCUAAUGGUUAGAAAGUCGGGCUUGUAUCUUGAGAGUUGCCAGAUCGAGGCUCACGGCCGGCGGGUUACGACUGAUGUGCCCUUGAGCAAGGCACCUAUCCCCUAUUGCUCCCCGGGCUGCAGUGACAGCUGCCCACUGCUCCGUGUGUGUUUUUAUCACUCACCGGAUGGGUUAAAUGCAGAGGUCACCAUACAUUGGUCAUUAUGUCACCUUACAUGUAUAACAAAUAAAUACAAAAAUAUAACACACUUGAUGAUUCUGGAAACAAAAAUAAAUAAUAAACUCUUUUUUCUCUUUCA